CCAAAAACACACUCUUGAAUCUACACUAGAUAGUACAUACUCAAACAGAGUUUUCUGGGAUCAUAUUCUGCUUCUAUUCCCAUGUCCCAUGUACCAUGUUUCAUGUUGUUGUAGAAUUUCUUGAUUGAAUAGAACGAUUUUUACUUCAUAUUCUUUUGCCCCAAGUGCUGAAAUCAGUACAUGAUAUUGCCUUGAAUCUUGAACUUAGUAUUGAGAGGAUCUGCAUAGAAGAGUUAAGUUGUGGGACAUUAUGGAUGAAGGGAAAUUGAAUAUUGAUGCCCCUCUUAUGUCUGUGAGGCGUUCUUCUGGCGCAUCACCAUCCUUAACUGAAGCAAAGAGAAAGACAUUAGAAAGGCCACAAGCUCUUCCACACUUUAAGCCAAACGUGACUUUGGAUCAGGUAACAGAACCUGUUGCAGUGCCUUUCAAUUGGGAGCAUAUCCCUGGAAGACCCAAGGAUGAUGGUGGAUCUCAAUCUCAACCUCCUAGAGAGCCUUCAAUUACUCCAAGCCCAAGUUUUCCCCUUGGAAAGCUCAUAAAUGUUGCCAAAGAACCAUUGGAAAAGGAAUCUAAUAUUGCAAAUAAAUUUAGGAACCCAAGCAUAUCAAACUCUUCAAGUAAAGUUGAUUGUGACAGAGAAAAAAAAUAUGAGAAAACAAAAAAUGUGGAAGAGGAUGAUGACUAUGAUAAUGAUGUUUAUUCUGAUGCCCUUGACAUACUGUCACCUACAGAACCAUUAUCUAUGAACUGUAGUGUAAGUGGAUUAGAUAAUUUGGAUGCAAACAAAUGUGGAACCUCUUCUACUGAUAAACAAACACAAGACUUCAUGAUGAGCCGUUUUUUACCUGCAGCAAAGGCUAUGACUAUUCAGCCUCCUCAAUAUGCUUCAAGAAAGCAACCGGUUGUGGUUGAACAACCUAGGGAAUUUACCAAAUUGGUUCGUGAGGAAAAGCAGUCCUUUGUUAAUAGACAUAUCACUGAUAUUAUACCAUAUACUGCCCAUUGUCAAGAGGAAGAAGAAGAAGAAGAAGAAAGUGAAGAUGAAACCAAUGAUUAUGCAAACAUUUCAGCUAAAGGUUGCGGUUUACUUCCCCGGUUAUGCGUUAGAAAUUCACUGUGCCUAUUAAAUUCAGUGCCUGGGACAAAAAUGGGACACCAGUUUACCUUUUAUUCUGCCCAUGAGGCUGGAAAAACUGAUAAAGGUUCUCAAAAUCGCUCUUAUAGACCAGCUCCAGCUAUAAAAAAGGCUUGGGAUGCUAUUCAUAAGAGCAAAUCAAGCUCUGGAGACAUGCACGAGGUAAGGAAAAAAUGGACUAGUGAUUCAAACAGGUACACUUACUCAGGUGAAUUGAAACAUAUAGGUAGACUCUCACCCUUUCGUCGUUCAAGAGCUGCUGCUGCUGGCAUAUCUCCUUUUCGAAGUAAGACUCAACCUCUCUUUCCUGAAGCAAUGUUGCUUGGUGAUUCCAAACGAGUUGAAAAUAUUAACCAUUCUGGCAAAUUGAAAUUACCAAGUAGAGGACAUGCAAGUACUCAAGAGGUGUUAACACAAGGAGCCAAAAAAAUAUCAAAUUCAGGAAGUCUUGCAAUUGAAAAAACAUUGUACAUAGAUACUGCUAGUACUGUAAAAUUAUCCUGCUCAAAUUCAAGUUUCUUAGCUAACACACAAAGGAUAGACUCUGUGGUAGGGAAAGAAAGAAAUUCCACAGUAGAUUCUUUUCAAGACAUGAAACAUCUACAAGCUUUGGAGGAAAAUUUGGAUUCUCAAGAACUGAAUUCUAUGGAUGCCAAUCCUUCAACUUUGUCUAGUAUGUUUCAUCUCAUGGCCAAAGAAGAUGAAGAUGAAAGACUGAACAAGGACCAAGAAAUUAACCAAGAAUCCAUGUCCUUGCAACUUGUGCAAAGUUCAUUUGACAAAGAUACAGCAUUCAACAACAAGCAAAUUGUAGUAGCUGAUGAUUCAAGAAAAGUUAGUGCUGAAUAUGUUUUGCAUCAUCUUGCCCCUCCACUGCCAAAGUCACCUUCUGAAUCGUGGCUUUGUCGUGCCCUGCCUUUAGUUUCUUCUAAGAAUUCAUUCCCAUAUUCGAAUCAAGGUACACAUUACAAUGCUAAAAGGCAGGGUUUUAGUAGAACAUCCAGCUAUACUAAGUGGGAAACAAUAGUGAAAACUUCAAAUUUGAAUCAUGAUCAUGUAUGUUGUUCUAAGGAACUAACAGUGUAUAAAUCUCAGCAUUCAAAAUCUUAAAGAUGGAACUUUGGCUUGUAUUGUGUAUAUCAUGUAAUGGUCCAAGCUUUUUAUAUCCUUUAUUUUAUCAGGCUUGUGGGAUUUUGGUUCUCCCCCUAUUGGUUUUUGGCACGACAACGUAGUAUAGUACAGAGGAAUCAAUAUCAUUUUUAGUGACCACACAGAUUCUUAUGGACUCUUCUUUCGGUGGAUUCAAGUUUUCACAAGCUACCCCAAG